AGUGAACGCUGGCGGUAGGCCUAACACAUGCAAGUCGAACGGCAGCACAGUAAGAGCUUGCUCUUACGGGUGGCGAGUGGCGGACGGGUGAGGAAUACAUCGGAAUCUACUUUUUCGUGGGGGAUAACGUAGGGAAACUUACGCUAAUACCGCAUACGACCUACGGGUGAAAGCAGGGGAUCUUCGGACCUUGCGCGAUUGAAUGAGCCGAUGUCGGAUUAGCUAGUUGGCGGGGUAAAGGCCCACCAAGGCGACGAUCCGUAGCUGGUCUGAGAGGAUGAUCAGCCACACUGGAACUGAGACACGGUCAAGACUCCUACGGGAGGCAGCAGUGGGGAAUAUUGGACAAUGGGCGCAAGCCUGAUCCAGCCAUACCGCGUGGGUGAAGAAGGCCUUCGGGUUGUAAAGCCCUUUUGUUGGGAAAGAAAAGCAGCAGGUUAAGACCCCGCUGUUCUGACGGUACCCAAAGAAUAAGCACCGGCUAACUUCGUG
rnacentral:rRNA from 1 species